rnacentral:lncRNA from 1 species
UUUUAAAUAGAAAGAAACGUUGGUGUUAAAGAAACAAAAGUAUUAUAACUUUACUCAUAUAAAUCAAUACCAUUAAAACAAAAUAACCCAAAGUUACUGUAACACACCGAUCAAAAUCACUUCCUCUCUCCAAAACUAUCAACAAAACCUUUCAUAGAAACCAACCCAGAACGUCUAAUAUUCAAGAUCCAAGGAUAAACAUCUCAUGGUGUUCAUCGCGAGAAACCACACAGAUUCGUUCUAACCAUUCCAAAUCAACAAACAAACAAGUCUAAACGAACAAACUGAAACUAGCUCUAUCAUCAAAGAAUUUUAGAAGAAAAAAACACAGCAUAAUUCCUUACAGAUAUAAGAACCCUAGCUCAUGAAUCAAAAGCGCAACACCAGCAAUCAGCAGAUUAUAGCAGAUAUACAACCGAUACAUGAAUUUCUAGCAUAAAAGAAUCGACGAAAAAAAUCUAAGACGAGAGGGAAAAGAUCUCG